rnacentral:rRNA from 1 species
AUGAUUGACCUAAAUGAGCUACCAGAAGACAAUAACCCUGAAUUGCAAAUUCCUGCCAACAAUGAUAUUGGAGAUCCUGCAUUUUACACACAACAGAGCAUCCACGCAGGUGAUGCUGAGCAUGCUGAGUUCGUUGCGGAAUCUCCUAAUCCUAUGGUCACGCAAAAUGUUGGCAAAACUGUGGCAGAAGCAAUGGAUACGGGUGGGCACUCCCUUAAUGCAGGGGAGCCGCAUGUGGUAGAACUAACCCUGGAACAGAAGCAGCAGAGACAGAUGCACGCACCCUUGAUGGCACAGGUGCUGCAGCUGAUACUAGAGGGACUGUUGGAAAUGGAUUGA